rnacentral:rRNA from 1 species
GUGGGGAAUCUUGCGCAAUGGGCGAAAGCCUGACGCAGCAACGCCGCGUGAGGGACGAAGGUCUUCGGGUUGUAAACCUCUUUCAGCAGGGACGAUUGUGACGGUACCUGCAGAAGAAGCUCCGGCCAACUACGUGCCAGCAGCCGCGGUAAUACGUAGGGAGCGAGCGUUGUCCGGAUUCAUUGGGCGUAAAGAGCUCGUAGGCGGCUUGGUAAGUUGGGUGUGAAACCUCCAGGCUUAACCUGGAGACGCCACUCAAUACUGCCAUGGCUAGAGUCCGGUAGGGGACCACGGAAUUCCUGGUGUAGCGGUGAAAUGCGCAGAUAUCAGGAGGAACACCGGUGGCGAAGGCGGUGGUCUGGGCCGGCACUGACGCUGAGGAGCGAAAGCGUGGGGAGCGAACAGGAUUAGAAACCCCGGUAGUCC